rnacentral:rRNA from 1 species
ACCCGCUGAAUUAAGCAUAUCAAUAAGCGGAGGAAAAGAAACUAACAAGGAUUCCCCUAGUAACUGCGAGUGAAGCGGGAAAAGCUCAAAUUUAAAAUCUGGUGGUCUUUGGCCAUCCGAGUUGUAAUCUAGAGAAGUGUUAUCCGCGCUGGACCGUGUACAAGUCCCCUGGAAUGGGGCGUCAUAGAGGGUGAGAAUCCCGUCUUUGGCACGGACUACCAGGGCUUUGUGAUGCACUCUCAAAGAGUCGAGUUGUUUGGGAAUGCAGCUCAAAAUGGGUGGUAAAUUCCAUCUAAAGCUAAAUAUUGGCGAGAGACCGAUAGCGAACAAGUACCGUGAGGGAAAGAUGAAAAGAACUUUGGAAAGAGAGUUAAACAGUACGUGAAAUUGUUGAAAGGGAAACGCUUGAAGUCAGUCGCGUCUGCCAGGGAUCAACCUUACUUUUGUGAGGCGUACUUCCUGGUUGAUGGGUCAGCAUCAGUUUUGGUUGCUGGAUAAAGGUCAGAGAAAUGUGGCACCUUCGGGUGUGUUAUAGUCUUUGAUCAGAUACAGUGGCUGGGACUGAGGAACUCAGCGCCGCAAGGCUGUCUUAGGAUGCUGGCAAAAUGGCUUUAAUCGACCCGUCUUGAAACACGGACCAAGGAG